rnacentral:rRNA from 1 species
CCCUUAGAUGUUCUGGGCCGCCCGCGCGCUACACUGAUGCAUUCAACGAGUGUACCUUGGCCGAGAGGCCUGGGCAAUCUUUUGAACGUGCAUCGUGAUAGGGAUAGAUUAUUGCAAUUAUUAAUCUUGAACGAGGAAUUCCUAGUAAACGCAGAUCAUCAAUCUGCAUUGAUUACGUCCCUGCCCUUUGUACACACCGCCCGUCGCACCUACCGAUUGGAUGGUCCGGUGAAGCCUCGGGAUUGUGGCGGUUGCCUUUAUUGGUGGCCGCCGCGAGAACUUGUCUAAACCUUAUCAUCUAGAGGAAGGUGAAGUCGUAACA